rnacentral:lncRNA from 1 species
GGGGCUGCGUGAGGAACGCUCCGAAUCCAAGGUUUCUAUUCAAGCGCGAUCUGAGAACGGCGCUUCAUUCUGUAUGGCGGUCGCGGGCGCCCCCUAGCGGCCAAGGGAGGAAUCGCGCCCCAGUCCGUGACCCCGCUCCGCUCUGUCCCGCUCCCACGCAGCUCACAGCUCUCCCGGCGCUCAGCGCUUCAGCGGCUCACGCUCAGCAUCGUCCCGACGCUGUCGCUGUCAUUACGUACAGAGAUUAUACGAGAGGGUUAUAAGUUGGACAUGGCCUGGAUCCGCACUGAAGCAUGCUGUUGCCUCGGGGGUUCAGAUCACAGCGACCUGCAAUGCUGGCUUUGGAGGGAUCCUUAACGAUCACAUCAUUGUGGGAUGGUUGCUUUGAAAGGCCCUGACUGAA